ACCAAUGGGUCUCUCUGUGGGACCUGAGUCCUGGCCACUGCCUUGUUGCUCCAGGAGAGCCCACAUGCUGGCCUGCAGAGUGCUCCUCUCCUUGCCGGACAUAUAUACAUGACUGUGGAGCAGUAAGCAAAUCUUCAGCUACACAAGGAAGACCCCAUAGAGAUCCAAAACGCCAGAAGGGCUGCAAAUAGCAGCAGGAAAUCAGAAGAGCAGAUGGAAAGAAAGCUGCUUCCUAUACAACAUUAUAUAGAAGCACACAGACACCUUAAGCAAGGUAGAUGAUCUUCAGACGCAGGAGGGCAGUGACAGCAGAUGACAACACAGACCAUCUCUGCUUUGGGUCCGAUCAGGACGAGUCCUGAAGGUCUGGCCACAUCAUGGCUUCCCUCCCUCUUGUGCUGCAUGCUGGCCUCCUGGCAAGACACCUGCUUGGACAUUUUCUGACAAUGAUGCUGCAGGUUUCUGUUCACCAAAGGAAUAAAGCCAAAGCUAUCAGAGAGCAAGUUAGGUGCUCCCACUCUCAGCUUCACCCCUGCGCGCAAGUUCAGAGUUUGGCAGUGAGAAAAUGGGCCCAUACAGAACAGUGCAACACACAAGUGAACAAAAAAGACACAGUGCUCUGCAUUAUGGCAACGUUUUAUGCAAAUGGCAGUGAAACUGUGUGAAACUGCAUUGUAUCUGUCACUGUAACCCAGGCAAAUGGCGCUUGCAGAAGCACUUUCAUCCCAGCACAAAGCAGCCUCCUGUGGUCCUUGGGAUGUUAAAGAAUCCACUCCUCGCAUCUCCACUUCCAAAGGGAAGUGAGGAAGCUUGCAGCAGGCUGAGUUCCCAGUGGUGGUCCAGAUCAGAAGGCACACUACACCUGCCAAAGUGAGUGAGGAUACAGCCCUCUGUGGAACAUAAAGAGCCCAGCCU